AGCGUCCCGCCGCUCGCCUCCCGCUGCCGGGCGCCGGCGCGCUCGGCUCUUUCCGCCGCCGCUGCUGCCGCGCGGUGGCCCGUGCGCCUCGGCACCUUCGGCAAUUUCCGUCGGGCCCCAGCCGCCAUUUUCUCGCCGCUUGUGUGGCUCGCUGGCUGCGUGGCUCGGUUCUUGUGAGCGAAGCUUUGUCCGGUUCGGCAAUGGACGGAAUCGUCACUGAGGUUGCAGUUGGCGUGAAGCCAAUGGUAAUGAUAGUAAAAAAUUUAAAGGAGAAGAUAAAAUGGAUGGUGCUCCUUCUCGUGUACUUCAUAUUCGAAAAUUACCUGGGGAAGUAACAGAAACUGAAGUUAUUGCUUUAGGCUUACCUUUUGGUAAGGUGACCAACAUCCUUAUGCUGAAAGGAAAAAAUCAGGCAUUUUUGGAACUAGCAACCGAGGAAGCAGCUAUUACUAUGGUUAAUUACUAUUCUGCUGUGACACCUCAUCUUCGUAACCAACCAAUAUAUAUCCAGUACUCGAAUCACAAAGAACUGAAGACAGAUAAUACAUUAAACCAACGUGCUCAAGCAGUUCUUCAAGCUGUGACAGCUGUCCAGACAGCAAAUACUCCUCUUAGUGGCACCACAGUUAGCGAGAGUGCAGUGACUCCAGCCCAGAGUCCAGUACUUAGAAUAAUUAUUGACAACAUGUACUACCCUGUAACACUUGAUGUUCUUCACCAAAUAUUUUCUAAGUUUGGUGCUGUAUUGAAGAUAAUCACAUUUACAAAAAAUAACCAGUUUCAAGCUUUGCUCCAGUAUGGUGAUCCAGUAAAUGCUCAACAAGCAAAACUAGCCCUAGAUGGUCAGAAUAUUUAUAAUGCCUGCUGUACCCUAAGGAUUGAUUUUUCCAAACUUGUGAAUUUGAAUGUAAAAUACAACAAUGAUAAAAGUAGGGAUUAUACUCGACCUGAUCUUCCAUCUGGGGAUGGACAACCUGCAUUGGACCCAGCUAUUGCUGCAGCAUUUGCCAAGGAGACAUCCCUCUUAGCUGUUCCAGGAGCUCUGAGUCCUUUGGCCAUUCCAAAUGCUGCUGCAGCAGCUGCUGCAGCUGCUGCUGGCCGAGUGGGUAUGCCUGGAGUCUCAGCUGGUGGCAAUACAGUCCUGUUGGUUAGCAAUUUAAAUGAAGAGAUGGUUACGCCCCAAAGUCUGUUUACCCUCUUCGGUGUUUAUGGAGAUGUGCAGCGUGUGAAGAUUUUGUACAAUAAGAAAGACAGCGCUCUAAUACAGAUGGCUGACGGAAACCAAUCACAACUUGCCAUGAAUCAUCUUAAUGGACAGAAAAUGUAUGGAAAAAUUAUUCGUGUUACUCUGUCUAAACAUCAGACUGUACAGCUACCUCGAGAGGGACUUGAUGAUCAAGGGCUAACAAAAGAUUUUGGUAAUUCCCCAUUGCAUCGUUUUAAGAAACCUGGAUCCAAAAAUUUUCAAAACAUUUUUCCUCCUUCUGCCACCCUUCACCUAUCUAAUAUCCCUCCAUCAGUAGCAGAAGAGGAUCUACGAACACUGUUCGCUAACACUGGGGGCACUGUGAAAGCAUUUAAGUUUUUUCAAAGAGAUCACAAAAUGGCUCUUCUUCAGAUGGCAACAGUGGAAGAAGCUAUUCAGGCCUUGAUUGAUCUUCAUAAUUAUAACCUUGGAGAAAACCAUCAUCUGAGAGUGUCUUUCUCCAAGUCAACAAUUUAAAAAUGGGAAGAUGAAGAUUGGGGGUGAAUCACAUUGUUCAAUGUCAUCACCUAUUUGACUGUUCAGAAAAGUGGGGACCAGAGUUUGAUUUUUUUUGUUUUUGUUUUUUUGGGGUUUCUUUUUUUUUCCAUGCUGUUAUCAUUCCUUGGUUAUAAAAUGAAAUGGCAUAUGUAAAGGCAGAGUUGUUAACUGCUAUAUUUCAUCUGUUCUAUAGGGAAGCCAUUUUGUCUGUUUAAAAUUUCAGUUUAAUUUUGCUUUUUUUUUUUUUUUUUCCUUUCAACUUAGUUGACAUAUGUGCCUU
rnacentral:sRNA from 1 species